AUAACAAGCUUGAGAGAGAUUCAUUAAACAAGUUGCACAAAUCAUUUUCUCAAAACAAAACAACAAUAUAAGCACAAUAAAGAGAAAAUAUUCAAUAAAAUAUAUGUCCUCUGCGAAAAAGGAAACAAAGUACAAUUCAUCGUAUUACAAAUCCAACAUCCUAUAGCAGAUAAAAAAAAUCAACGACAAUUGUAGUCAUUCCAUAUCUCAUUUGCAAUGGCAUCUCUCAUUACAACCAUCUGGUUUUGUUGCUUGAUAGAAUAUAUAACCUCUCUGCCAUAUGCUCACGAUAAAUUAUGUAGUGGAGAUCAAGAUGCAAAGAUUCCACUCACAUAAACAAGGAUUAUUGCCAAUAUGCUUGCCAAAGAUUCAAAGCUCACCCAUUUCACAAAAUAUGGUCUAUGGUACAACAAAACGUAGGUACAGUAUAUACAAUCUCUAGCUCAAUUGUAUGUAAUUUCAAAGCUCACCUCCUUCUUAUGCUUAUCUUUCUUUGCCGAAAUCUGCACAAAUAUAAACAAUGAGAAACAAUUCUUUUUCCACAAAUUCUCUUGGCGGAAGAUAUGCAAGGACAACCGUAAACAAAGAACCGUAAAAAUUAUCUGAAUAGAAAUGAAAUUAUGUGUCAAAGGUUUUCACCAAAUACACUUACUGUCUCAGUCUAACUCAGAUUGAAGGGGGGUUAAACCUGCACUAGAAAAUAUAGUAUCCAAAUAUCAUCCAAGAUGAUUUAGAGAACACAUUAAAACUUCAGAAUCAUUUUCUAAUGUACCUUAAACUAAUGUACGUGUAGACUAGAGAUGACCAGGUGGCAAAGGGGUCAGAUCUGUAAUGCAUAAAUGAUUAGGCUAGGCCAGUACUUUUCCAUAAUGUCAGUCUAUAACUUAGUUUCAUUCUACAUACUAAUAUUCAUGAGUUCCAUGUGAACAUGCCACAACAAAAUUGUUCUACAGUUUGAGACUUGUUGAAACAUCGGCUACAAAGAAAUUACUCACAGCCAUCGCACAAUGAUGGAGAAAGAAAGCGACUGCAACUAUAAUAAAUUUGCCUGCUGCAGAAUUCUUCAUAUUCAGUGCCAGAGGCAUUGCAUCAUACUAGUCUCUGCUGCCAUCAGCUCCAUCAUCCCAACCUGACAGAAAAUUAAAGAAUCUUCUUUUCUAUAGUGCGUACAUGUUCGGUAUUUCAUGUUAUGUUCAAGCCAACCACAAAUCUUUGCUUGCGACUGCCUUCCUCACACGAAAAGAGGCAUUCUCAUCGAUCAUGACUAAUAUAUGGGAUGAUGCUCAGGUUUUUUCACCAAGCCUACCAAAUAAUAAUUUUUUGAAAAUUGUAGGAUAUACACUUAAAUUGCCAAGUUGAAGGAUUGAGACAUGAGACAAUUUCACAGACUCGCUCAAACGAAUCAGAAGGAUAGUAGAGAUUAUUGUAGCACAUCAUGACAUGAGUAAACACAAUACAACUCAUGGCCAUUGUUCUGUAGAUUUUUAAAACAUAGUUGUUUUUUAACUUCACAGCUAAAGGAUUUUCAACUCGUUCCGGGUUUUAUUUUAGACUUUGAGAGUAAAGUACUAAUAAUUCAGUGCCUUUCUUCCCCUAUACCCAAUGUCGCAAAACUAUAGUAGAUAAUAUGGUCGUUUUGUUGUAAUAUACUAGCGAUAAAUUGAAAACCAAACCACAAAAAUCAUUUCUUCAAUUCUAUUGAAAAUCUGAAAUCGACAGAUCGUCUUAGAACAAACAUACUCAUAAAUGCUUAAAAAAUAUCGUUAAAACUCGCAAAUCUCAUCUAAACUAUCAAUUGAGUAUUACUAAUUGAUAUCGAUAAAUAUUCAAUCAAACUAUAAAACUACUCCAAAAUCAGUGAAUACACAUAUUCGAAAAGGAAAUUCUCAAAAAACACAAAUUUAAGAAAUAAACAUCCAAAUCACAAGAUAAAAGUCACAUGAACGUACUAAUGGAGCUUGAACAAACCACAGUGAAGAGAGUUAUGACCAAAGAGAGUUAACGAGAGAGAGAGAGAGAGAAAAGAAGAAGAAGAAGAGAUCGAUGUGUGCAAUCUUUUUUUGUUUUUUUUUGGUCUGCGUUAUGUUUUUUCGUUUCGUGAUGCGUGUUUUUAAGUUCGAAAUUAAAAAACGGAAAAUUGUAGAAAACCAGAAAACUGUUUCCUAUAACUGUAAAAAUAUCUCAAGUAAACACGUUUUCUGUUUUUUAUUUUCUUUAGAGAUAAUUUUUCGGAAAACUGAAAAAUUUCCCACAAGUAAACAGAUCCUUAGUUUCCUUAAAAAAAGAGAUCGAAUAUGCCAUUUUGAGGUACAAUAUAU
rnacentral:lncRNA from 1 species